rnacentral:rRNA from 1 species
GACGAACGCUGGCGGCGUGCUUAACACAUGCAAGUCGAACGGAAAGGCCCUGCUUUUGUGGGGUGCUCGAGUGGCGAACGGGUGAGUAACACGUGAGUAACCUGCCCUUGACUUUGGGAUAACUUCAGGAAACUGGGGCUAAUACCGGAUAGGAGCUCAUGCUGCAUGGUGGGGGGUGGAAAGUUUCGGCGGUUGUGGAUGGAUUGGCGGCUGAUCAGCUUGCUGGUGGGGUAGUGGCUUACCAAGGCUUUGACGGGUAGCCGGCCUGAGAGGGUGACCGGCGACAAUGGGACUGAGGUACGGCCCAGAGUCCUACGGGGGGCAGCAGUGGGGAGUAUUGCACAAUGAGCGGGAGCCUGAUGCGGCAGCGCCGCGGGCGUAAAGACGGCCUUCGGGUUGAGAACAGCUUUAGCCUAUGACGAAGCGUGAGUGACGGUAAUGAGUAAAGAAGCACCGGCUAACUACGUG